rnacentral:rRNA from 1 species
GACGAACGCUGGCGGCGCGCUUAACACAUGCAAGUCGUGCGGUACCGAUGGCAAGUCUUCAUGACGAGCCUUCGGUAUAGCGGCGGACGGGUGAGUAACACGUGAGUAGCUGUCCUAGGGAGGGGGAUAACGCCUGGAAACGGGUGCUAAAACCCCAUAAGCCUCGCAAGAGGUGAAAGUGUACUUGUUACAGCCUUAGGGUGUGCUCGCGGCCUAUCAGCUAGUUGGUGAGGUAAGGGCUCACCAAGGCUAAGACGGGUAGCCGGCCUGAGAGGGUGUACGGCCACACUGGAAUUGAGAUACGGUCCAGACUCCUACGGGAGGCAGCAGUGGGGAAUUUUGGGCAAUGGGCGAAAGCCUGACCCAGCGACGCCGCGUUGGGGAUGAAGUCCUUCGGGGCGUAAACCCAUGUUGUAGGGGAAGAAGAAAGUGACGGUACCCUACGAGAAAGCCCCGGCCAACUACGUGCCAGCAGCCGCGGUAAAACGUAGGGGGCGAGCGUUGUCCGGAAUUACUGGGCGUAAAGGGCAUGCAGGCGGUGCGCCAAGUCGGGGGUGUAAAGUUACGGCUCAACCGUGACCUUGCAAUCGAAACUGGCGCACUGGAGUGCGGGAGAGGGAAGUGGAAUUCCCGGUGUAGCGGUGAAAUGCGUAGAUAUCGGGAGGAACGCCAGUGGCGAAGGCGGCUUCCUGGCCCGCGACUGACGCUCAUGUGCGAAAGCCAGGGGAGCGAA